AGUGAACGCUGGCGGUAGGCCUAACACAUGCAAGUCGAACGGCAGCACAGUAAGAGCUUGCUCUUACGGGUGGCGAGUGGCGGACGGGUGAGGAAUACAUCGGAAUCUACUUUUUCGUGGGGGAUAACGUAGGGAAACUUACGCUAAUACCGCAUACGACCUACGGGUGAAAGCAGGGGAUCUUCGGACCUUGCGCGAUUGAAUGAGCCGAUGUCGGAUUAGCUAGUUGGCGGGGUAAAGGCCCACCAAGGCGACGAUGCGUAGCUGGUCUGAGAGGAUGAUCAGCCACACUGGAACUGAGACACGGUCCAGACUCCUACGGGAGGCAGCAGUGGGGAAUAUUGGACAAUGGGCGCAAGCCUGAUCCAGCCAUACCGCGUGGGCGAAGAAGGCCUUCGGGUUGUAAAGCCCUUUUGUUGGGAAAGAAAAGCAGCAGGUUAAUACCCCGCUGUUCUGACGGUACCCAAAGAAUAAGCACCGGCUAACUUCGUG
rnacentral:rRNA from 1 species